rnacentral:rRNA from 1 species
GAUGAACGCUGACAGAUGCUUAACACAUGCAAGUCAACUUGAAUUUGGGUUUUUAACUUAGGUUUGGGUGGCGGACGGGUGAGUAACGCGUAAAGAACUUGCCUCACAGCUAGGGACAACAUUUGGAAACGAAUGCUAAUACCUAAUAUUAUGAUAAUAGGGCAUCCUAUAAUUAUGAAAGCUAUAAGCGCUGUGAGAGAGCUUUGCGUCCCAUUAGCUAGUUGGAGAGGUAACUGCUCACCAAGGCGAUGAUGGGUAGCCGGCCUGAGAGGGUGAUCGGCCACAAGGGGACUGAGACACGGCCCUUACUCCUACGGGAGGCAGCAGUGGGGAAUAUUGGACAAUGGACCAAGAGUCUGAUCCAGCAAUUCUGUGUGCACGAUGAAGUUUUUCGGAAUGUAAAGUGCUUUCAGUUGGGAAGAAAGAAAUGACGGUACCAACAGAAGAAGUGACGGCUAAAUACGUGCCAGCAGCCGCGGUAAUACGUAUGUCACGAGCGUUAUCCGGAUUUAUUGGGCGUAAAGCGCGUCUAGGUGGUUAUAUAAGUCUGAUGUGAAAAUGCAGGGCUCAACUCUGUAUUGCGUUGGAAACUGUAUAACUAGAGUACUGGAGAGGUAAGCGGAACUACAAGUGUAGAGGUGAAAUUCGUAGAUAUUUGUAGGAAUGCCGAUGGGGAAGCCAGCUUACUGGACAGAUACUGACGCUGAAGCGCGAAAGCGUGGGUAGCAAACAGG